rnacentral:rRNA from 1 species
UACGGGGGGGGCAAGCGUUGUUCGGAAUUACUGGGCGUAAAGGGCUCGUAGGUGGCCAACUAAGUCAGACGUGAAAUCCCUCGGCUUAACCGGGGAACUGCGUCUGAUACUGGAUGGCUUGAGUUCGGGAGAGGGAUGCGGAAUUCCAGGUGUAGCGGUGAAAUGCGUAGAUAUCUGGAGGAACACCUGCGGUGUAGACGGCUUACUGGACCAUAACUGACGCUGAGGCACGAAAGCGUGGGUAGCAAACAGG